UAGCUAGGGGCAAAAAAAAUCUAAACUCUAGGACUCUUGGGCGAUUUUGGCCGCCCGUAGAGAUGACGCUGCGAGCCCGCCCGCCGCUCUCUUCCUCCUCCUCCUUGCCGCUCACGACCCUUCCAAUCCGGCUCCGCUGCCCGCUCCAUUCCUCCCGGCCCUCCAAGCUCUUCUUCCUCCACGCCCAUCCCCGGUCCCCGGUCCAGCUGCGUCCAACCCACCGCUCCUCGGCCCGUCCUGGCGGACCUCGUUUCUUGGGGCGAGAUGACGCCGACGAGGAGGAGGAUGAGGAGGAGGAGGGGUGGAGGUCGGCACCACCUGCCGGCCCCUCCGGGGCUCACCUCGUCGGCGCGCUGGACGACGACGACGGCGACGGCGACAGCGGGGGCCGCGUUGGGUGGGGCGCAACCCGCGGUGACGACGCCGGGGGAGUGGAGAUUCAAGAGCUCGGGGCGGACGGCGGCGGGGAGGCAGCCGAGUGGGACCCCCCUGUCCGCCUCUUCCGAUGGCCGGUUCAGGUACAGCGUCAGCCAGAGGAGGAGGAAGACGACGAAGACGGGAGUGGCUGCGAGUGGUCGGACCCGGGCUGCUUCUUGCGAGGCCAAGAGGAGGCCGCCGGUGCCGUGCGCACCACCACGGCCAUGGAAGAAAUUCUCGCCUUCGCGCGGAGCCACGAGGCUGACGGGCAGGCGUUUGCCGAGUUCUUGGCGGGGUACAGGCACGCAGCGUUCGGCGUGGAGGAAUGCGUGGAGCUGACGAGGAGGAUGGGGGAGGAGGGGCUGGCAUUGGGGUGCCUCCACCUCCUCCGUUGGAUGCAGGCUCCGGAGGAGACAUUGUUGUUGUCCCCGCAGGCAUGGCUGCUCGCUGUUGUGGUGCUUGGACGUGCUGAGAUGGCCGAUGAAGUGCUGGAGAUUGUAGAAGGCUUGCCUCCCGAGAGGAGAUUCAGGAAGGCUGUCCUUUACAACGCUGCAAUGUCAGGUCUUGCCUAUUGCGGAAGAUAUGAUGAUGCUUGGAAAGUAUUUAAGCUUAUGGAAAAGAACAAUAUCCAGCCUGAUCACAUGACAUCCUUAAUCAUGCUAAAUGUAAUGAACAAGGGCAAUGCAUCUGCCAAGGAUGCAUGGGAAUUCUUCCAACGGAUGGACAGAAAAGGUGUCAAGUGGAGCUUGGACAUAUGCAUUUGUCUUAUCAAGAUCUUCUGUGAUGAGGGACUGAAAACAGAAGCUCUUAUCAUCCAGUCAGCAAUGGAGAAGAGAGGAAUUGCAUCAAACACGAGCAUAUAUAACACAUUAAUAAAUGCUUACUGCAAAGCCAAUCAAAUCGAAGAGGCAGAGGGACUUUUUGUUGAGAUGAAAGAGAAAGGCUUGUGUGCGACAACAGUGACCUAUAAUAUCCUUAUGGGUGCUUACAGUAGAAGAUUGCAACCAGAAGUUGUUGAGUCUUUACUGCUGGAGAUGCAAGAUUUAGGACUACAACCAAAUGCGAGAUCAUACAACUUUCUCAUUAACACUUAUGGGCAACAGAAGAAAAUGACUGAAAAGGCUGAAGAUGCUUUUUUAAGGAUGAAGACAGUUGGCAUUAUGCCAACAUCUUCUACAUACACUUCUCUUCUUUGUGCAUAUGCAGUUAAUGGACUGUAUGAAAAAGCUCUUUUGACAUAUGUGGAUAUGAAAAGAGAAGGAUUUAAGCCUUCCAUUGAAACAUAUACAGCUUUGAUUGACAUGUUUAGGAGAGCUGGUGACACAGAGAAGUUAAUGGAGACUUGGAGAUCAAUGAUCGAUGAGAAGGUUCCUGGAACAAGAGUAAUAUUCCACAUGGUGCUUGAUGGUCUGGCAAAACAUGGGCUGUAUGUCCAGGCGAUGGAUGUGAUGUAUGAGUUUAGAAGGGCUGGUUUACAGCCAAAUGUUAUGACAUACAACAUUUUGAUGAAUGCUUUUGCAAGGGGAGGACAACACUACAAAUUGCCCCAACUCUUGAAAGAGAUGGCUGCUCUGGAAAUAAAACCAGAUUCUGUGACAUAUUCCACAAUGAUUUAUGCGUAUGCCCGUGUCCGUGACUUUUCGAGAGCAUUCUAUUACCACAAGCUGAUGGUUCGAAGUGGACAGUUGCCUGAUGUUAGGUCAUAUAAAAAGUUAUUGAAUACAUUGGAUGUGAAAGCUGCAAGAAAGAACAUAAAGGAUAGGAGUGCUGUGGUAGGAAUCUUAAAAGGAAAGUCUAGCUUGAAACAUAGAAAGGAGAAGAAGGAUGAGUUUUGGAAGAACAGAAAAAAACGUUCUAUGAUGAAUAAGGUUUAUGGGUACCCAAGGAAAAGAUCUUUGUGAUGCUUUUCUUAUGUGUACAUCAGUAUCCCGGAUGUUCAUCCUUGUGCAUUACAAUGGCAUAUAAAAUGAAUGGUCUGGAAGUUUCAUGGUCGCCAUAUUUUAAUUCUCUUGAAGCAUUCAGGCUUUGUGUUUUAAAUUGGCUGGCCUAGACGACUAUUCAGCGCUGGCAUUGGAAAGCUGUCCUGCACGAUGGUAGGCAACAGUCUAUGGUAAUUUUGUCAACUCACCGAGGAACACAAUGCUAAAUUAUUUUAAUUUACUACAGAGGGAAUAAAAGUCCAGUUUCAGAGUGGAGGCAAGCCACCAUCCUUCAGCCAAGCCAUGGGAGUGGCGAAGAGCCAAAGACUACAAUUUGUGGCGUAGACCGCAAGAUCUGGCAAGGGCCACGAUACAUGGCACAGUUCACAGAUCAUGAUGACAGACUACGAUAAGCAAUCAGCGAGUGAAGGAAAUAAGUCUUGGGGAGCUGAGGUCCAUAGGGGAUGGCCUAUCUAAAACCCCUGUGUGGCACAGCAGCACUGGAAAAAGGGGAAAGACAAUUUUAUCCUGUUUAUGUAAUGUAAAAUCAUGUAUAAGCCAAAUCCUGGGGCUAUAAAUAGACCCCAAGAGGGAGUUCUGAAAGGAGGAAUCUGAGAAAGCAAAUAGAAAUUUACUGUCUUUGCAUACAUUUAGAAAUACUAUGGUAUACCUCUACAACACAUAUCUAGCACUAUCCAUUACAGAAAGAUAACUGAUUUUGUUGUUUGUGUCUUUUAGUUCAUAUUCAAUUUGAGAAUAUUAUGGAUAUGUACAUAAUACUAGCUUAUAUAUAUAUAUACCCUAUAGAUGAUAUUGUCAUCUAUGCAGCUAUUAUUUUGACCUCCAGCAUCAGACUGUCCAAAUUGUUAUAUACUGAAUUGUUGAAUGCAGUAAGACGGAACAUUAAACUAUGUGUUUUCAAUAGGGCGCUGAUGGCGAU